AACGAACGCUGGCGGCAGGCCUAACACAUGCAAGUCGAGCGAGAUCUUCGGGUCUAGCGGCGAACGGGUGAGUAACGCGUGGGAAUAUGCCUCUUGGUACGGAAUAGCCUCGGGAAACUGGGAGUAAUACCGUAUGUGCCCUUUGGGGGAAAGAUUUAUCGCCAAGGGAUUAGCCCGCGUUGGAUUAGGUAGUUGGUGGGGUAAUGGCCUACCAAGCCGACGAUCCAUAGCUGGUUUGAGAGGAUGAUCAGCCACACUGGGACUGAGACACGGCCCAGACUCCUACGGGAGGCAGCAGUGGGGAAUCUUAGACAAUGGGGGCAACCCUGAUCUAGCCAUGCCGCGUGAGUGAUGAAGGCCUUAGGGUUGUAAAGCUCUUUCAGCUGGGAAGAUAAUGACGGUACCAGCAGAAGAAGCCCCGGCUAACUCCGUGCCAGCAGCCGCGGUAAUACGGAGGGGGCUAGCGUUGUUCGGAAUUACUGGGCGUAAAGCGCACGUAGGCGGACCAGAAAGUUGGGGGUGAAAUCCCGGGGCUCAACCCCGGAACUGCCUUCAAAACUAUUGGUCUGGAGUUCGAGAGAGGUGAGUGGAAUUCCGAGUGUAGAGGUGAAAUUCGUAGAUAUUCGGAGGAACACCAGUGGCGAAGGCGGCUCACUGGCUCGAUACUGACGCUGAGGUGCGAAAGCGUGGGGAGCAAACAGG
rnacentral:rRNA from 1 species